rnacentral:rRNA from 1 species
GGAUUAGGCAUGCAAGUCGAACGAGGAUAUAUCCUUCGGGAUAUAAGCCGAGUGGCGCAAGGGUGAGUAAUGCAUAGAUUACCUGCCUCUAGGAUAAGGACAACUUUGUGAAAACGAAGCUAAUACUUAAUAAUACAAAAGAAAAUAAUUUUCCUUUGUCAAAGGGAGGGUAGCAAUACCUUUUGCCUAGAGAGGGGUUUAUGUCCUAUCAGCUUGUUGGUGGGGUAAUGGCCUACCAAGGCGAAGACGGGUAGCCGGUCUUAGAGGAUGGUCGGCCACACUGGGACUGAGACACUGCCCAGACUUCUACGGAAGGCUGCAGUCGAGAAUCUUUCGCAAUGCCCGAAAGGGUGACGAAGCGACGCCGCGUGAGUGAGGAAGGCCUUAGGGUUGUAAAGCUCUGUCAGGAGUUAAGAAAUAUAAGUGUGUUAAUACCACAUUUAUUUGACGAAGGCUCCAAAGGAAGCCACGGCUAAUUCUGUGCCAGCAGCCGCGGUAAUACAGAGGUGGCAAGCGUUGUUCGGAAUUAUUGGGCGUAAAGAGCACGUAGGUGGGUUUGUAAGUCAGAUGUGAAAGCCUUCUGUUCAACGGAGGAAUUGCAUCUGAAACUAUAAGUCUUGAGUGUAGGAGGGGAGAAUGGAACUUCUGGUGGAGCGGUGAAAUGCGUAGAUAUCAGAAGGAACGCCGGCGGCGAAAGCGAUUCUCUGGCCUAUUACUGACACUCAGUGUGCGAAAGCUAGGGGAGCAAACGGGAUUAGAUACCCCGGUAGUCCUAGCUGUAAACGAUGGGCACUAAGUAGAGGGGAUUACCGAUGUUCUCUCUGCCGUAGCUAACGCAUUAAGUGCCCCGCCUGGGGAGUACGGCCGCAAGGCUAAAACUCAAAAGAAUUGACGGGGGCUCGCACAAGCGGUGGAGCAUGUGGCUUAAUUCGAUGCAACGCGAAAAACCUUACCGGGGCUUGACAUGGUAGAAGUAGGAACCCGAAAGGGUAACGAACGGUAUCCAGUCCGUAGCUAUCACAGGUGUUGCAUGGCUGUCGUCAGCUCGUGUCGUGAGACGUUGGGUUAAGUCCCCUAACGAGCGAAACCCUUGUUUUUAGUUACCAGCGGGUUAUGCCGGGUACUCUAGAAAGACUGCCGUCGUCAAGACGGAGGAAGGUGGGGAUGACGUCAAGUCAUCAUGGCCCUUAUGCCCCGGGCUGCACACGUGCUACAAUGGUCGGUACAAACGGAAGCGAAGCCGAGAGGUGAAGCGAAUCCUAAAAAGCCGAUCUCAGUUCGGAUUGGAGGCUGAAAUUCGCCUCCAUGAAGUUGGAAUCGCUAGUAAUCGCGGAUCAGCAAUGCCGCGGUGAAUAUGUUCCCGAGCCUUGUACACACCGCCCGU